rfam:Schistosoma margrebowiei strain Zambia genome assembly, scaffold: SMRZ_scaffold0002138
AUCCAGCUGACUAGUCCCAAAUAGAACGACACGCGCGUCCUAGAU